UACAGAGGGUGCGAGCGUUAAUCGGAAUUACUGGGCGUAAAGCGCGCGUAGGCGGCUUUGCAAGUCGGGUGUGAAAUCCCCAGGCUUAACCUGGGAACUGCAUUCGAGACUGCAUUGCUAGAGUAUGGGAGAGGGAAGUGGAAUUCCUGGUGUAGCGGUGAAAUGCGCAGAUAUCAGGAGGAACACCGAUUGCGAAGGCAGCUCGCUGGGACGUGACUGACGCUGAGACGCGAAAGCGUGGGGAGCAAACAGG
rnacentral:rRNA from 1 species